rfam:Bacteroidia bacterium 43-41 SCNpilot_bf_inoc_scaffold_2190, whole genome shotgun sequence.
CCUAUUAUUCCGUUAAUAGUAGCCUAAAGGAACAUGCGGCAGGAGUAAUCCCGUGGUGUGAAGCUUCCUUGACAAAGUCCCUGUGAACAACAGGAGAGCGAACCGUGAGGGGAUACAACUACCGCCAACAUCAGGCGGUUAAGGGG